UCCUCGCCCCCAGAAACCUACUCACACAUGCUGACUACAUAUAUGUGUGCAUGUUUUUGGUGUAAUGUAAUUGGUUGGUCUGUAUCAUCCAUUAAUAAUGGCUGAGAUCACACCAAACAUGUGGCACAGUUUAGGGAUUUACUUUUAUUAUAGAAAAUGUGUCAAGUUCUGUGUUUCCAAAUUUUUCAUCUUCUGUAUCCUCUUUUCACCUUUUACCCCAGCUUUUGAUCUUCAUGCCCCCCCAUUUCUGCAUGUCCUCAAACCCAUCUUCUCUCUCUCUCUCUCUGUCUCGCUCGCUUUUUCACACAAACACACACAGUCUGAGGCUCUAGAGAAGGCAGGACCAACCACUCCCACUGCCCUAUAGUUCUAUGAAAACACAGAGGACGAGAGACACAGCCAGACAGAUGAGAGAGAGAGAGAGGGCGGAGCGUAGCCGUGCUGAAGCCGAGCCCCUCUUUGCCUCCGCACGCACAGUGGAGGAGCAGACGGGCAACAGCCACACAAACACACUCCCCUCUCAGUCACAUGCACACUCACACACACACAUACCACACACAUACACACACGCACACCACAACCGCCGACGUCGCUGCUGCCCCCUGCCCCACCACAUACACUAACACACACACUUAUACACUCACAGUGACGGCUGCCAGACUCAGUGGGAAGAAAGCCGUCAGGGAGAGAGAGAGAGAGAGCUGGAGGAGAAAGAGAGGGAUCGCAGAGGGAAGAGAAGAAAAGAAAAGAGAGAGUUGCAGGAGGCACCUCUUUGGAUCAGGAAGGAUUUUCCUCCUGAGUGAGCGUUUGGAUAAAUCAAUCUGCUUUUUUGUUGAGCAAAAGGACUUUUUGACCAGAGCUGUCUCUCAUUUGCUCAUCCUCCCCACCGGUUUCCUGCGAUAUCUACCUAUCCAUCUCCAGAGCUCAACAAAAGAGGGAGGGAGAAAGAGAGAGAGUGAGAAAUAAGGCAGUCACAGCUUCAGCUUCAGACCACCCUCUCUUUUCCUACUCCUCCUCUUCCUCCUCCUCCUCUUCCCCUCCAUCCAUGUGUGAGUUGAUCGCUGAUUUCACUGUCUUUUCAGAGCAGAGGACAGCGUGCGUUCUCCAGGAUACAACCAGGCUUCCAGUGGGAUCAGGGUCCUGUCUGGCGUGCGUAUGAGAGAGGAAGAACGAGACCGGCAAACGGAUACACAAGAAGAAAGGAGGAAAGACCAGAGGGAGAGACUGGAAAGCAAAUUGAAUGGGCAUGUUUAGGGCAGAAGUGAGUGUGAUUUUCUUUAAAGACUGGACAGUACGAGGAACCGGUAACUGAAUCUCAUUCAACCUCCUCCGCUUCAUCACCAUCCUCUUCUUCCCUCCCAUUUGGCUAUUAAAUCUCCUCUAUUGUUUCCAGCGUUGAUUCUAUACUAUCUUGUCACAUUUUCCUCUUCUCCUGCUCCCACUCAAGAUCCCGUCUCCUUUUCUAGACCCCACUGGAAGAAUGGUUUUGUGAGGUUCUCCUUCUGUGAGCUCCCAGACAAGCAGACUGACUGAGAUCCCAAAAGUACUGUUUGUCCCUCUUAAAUCCAUCUCCUCCGUUUCGCAUUUACCACACACCUCGGGAAGAGAGCAUUCUCCCCCUCUCUGCAUCCUCAACUCUUGGAAUCAGUCAUCUAAAGGAUCCAGGCCAGCCCGUUGGAAGUGAUUCCUUGCCUCCGAGCCUCUAUCUCCAGCCUCCAAGACCUUCAAUCAGAUUCCAGCUACAUGGGAAAACGUUUGGAGCAGCAGCCAAUGUACCCCCACUACACCUACUACUACCCCCACUAUCUUCAGACUAAGCAGUCAUAUGCUCCUCCACCUCCACCAAUGGCUCCGCCCAGUCCAAGCACCACAGGGGGGGGUGGCGGUGGAGGAGGUGGAGGUCACGGAGGGGGGCUAGUGGAGCAGCUUAGUAAGACCAACCUGUACAUCAGAGGCCUGCCACCAGCUACCACCGACCAGGACCUCAUCAAACUCUGCCAGCCAUAUGGAAAGAUUGUAUCAACUAAGGCCAUCCUGGACAAGAACACCAAUCAGUGUAAAGGCUACGGCUUUGUGGACUUCGACAGCCCUGCAGCAGCCCAGAAGGCUGUGGCCUCCCUGAAAGCCAGCGGAGUCCAGGCACAAAUGGCAAAGCAACAAGAGCAGGACCCCACCAACCUCUACAUCUCCAACCUGCCUGUGUCCAUGGAUGAACAAGAGCUGGAGAACAUGCUGAAGCCCUUUGGUCACGUCAUCUCUACACGAAUACUGAGGGACGCCAACGGGCUGAGCAGAGGCGUGGGCUUUGCCAGGAUGGAGUCAACAGAGAAGUGUGAUGUGGUUAUCCAAAAUUUCAAUGGAAAGUUCUUGAAAACACCUCCAGGCAUGACAGCCCCAGCGGAGCCGUUGCUGUGCAAGUUUGCUGAUGGAGGCCAAAAAAAGAGGCAGACCCAGGUCAAGUAUCCCCAGAACGGCCGGCCGUGGACACGGGAUGGAGAGAACAAUAUGGCGCUGACCUAUGACCCCACUGCCAUGCAGAAUGGAUUCUACUCUUCACCCUACAGCAUCUCCACCAAUCGGAUGAUUGCGCAGACAUCCAUCACACCCUUCAUUGCUGCUUCUCCUGUCUCCACAUAUCAGGUCCAGAGUACGUCUUGGAUGCCACACCAACAGUAUGUUAUGCAACCAACAGGCGCUGUCAUCACUCCAGCUGCGACCAUUGAGCCCAGCCUCUCCCUUCACCCCUCCAGUGUUAUGGCUCCUCUCACCCAGCAGAUGAAUCACUUGUCUUUAGGCACUACAGGCACCUACAUGCCUGCUGCAGCAGCUGCUCCUAUGCAAGGAACCUACAUUCCCCAGUACACUGCAGUGCCUGCCUCUGCCAUCACAGUGGAAGGUGUGGUGUCAGAUCCAUCCACACAGACAGCUGUACCCUCCUCACAGGAGGCCGGUGGGCAGCAGCCUUUAUCAGUGGAGAGCUCAGCAGAUCACGCUACGACUUACUCCUACCAGCAGUCUAAAUAAAAACACUGCCAUCACUGUGUAAUGGCAGAACUGAGGCAAUGGAGACGGAGAGGAUCAAUCUAAAACUUGGAGGAUGAGUAAGAUUUGAUGGAAAUCACUGACAGGACAAUGGUUCCACUGUGCACAGGCACCAAAUACAAAGACAAAAUAAGGAAUAAUAGGAAAAAUAAAAGUGUUUUUAAACUGGUUGAACCAGGACUAAAGUCAAGGCAAAAGAAAACCAGCUACCAGUCAGCAGCUGUGACUCUAUCAACUGUAAUAAUGAGGCUGGACUUUGCCUCCAAAGAAAAAAAAAAUGAAGACAAACUGAAAUCUAAAAACUCUUUCACUCGAUCAAGCUGUACAGAAAAAAGGAACAUUUGAAUGUCCAGGAACAUUUUUCUGACUUUUUUAGAUAAAAAAAAAGGGUAAAAAGGAAGUCAAGUUAAAAAACAAACAAAAAAGGUUGUCUUCCUUUAGUUUUAUUAAGCUACAUUAUUUUCUUUUGUUUUUUAUUUGAGUAGUUUUUUAGAAUAGUAAUGUUUUUUCGUAAAUCUUUAUGGCCUUAAUUUUCUCAAACUUUGAGGGAAAAAUGUUUCCAUAGUGUUGAAUAAUUAUUAAAAAGAAACAAAGUGUGAUAAAAUAAUUUGAGGUAUUCUCUGAGUUUCUCAGAGGCAUCAAAAUUAGAAAUGAACAAUGCUACCUGUACAGGAUUUUUUUUAGAGAAAAGACAAAAAUAGAGUUGUAUUUGUAUGAAGAUGAUUUUAAAUUAUGUGGUGCAGUCUAGCUGAUGUUGGUCGGUAAGGAAACUGUCUUCAGUGCAACCUGUGGAAAAUGUUGAUCCGCUGCUUUUUGUAUUUAGUUCAGCCACAGGAUAAAUAUUUGGUUUUUCCACAGCAUUUUUUUUCCCUGUUGGUCUCUUUACAUUUUUUUGUUUGUUUUUGUUUGCUUUACCAGCUUUGCUUGCCUCAUUGCAUAAAGAAAAAGUGAGUUUUGACUUUUUAAAAGAAAAAAGCAGGAAAAUAUGUGGUUGGAGGAUUCCAUGUGCAGAAAGCAUUAGUUUUAGAGGCUGUUGACAUUUUCUUGUUUAUCUAGUGUUGAACAAACGCAACCAACAGGUGGCGCUUUCAUACCAAAGAAAUAGAAAAUAAGAGGUGAAAAAUAGAGAUCUUCCUUUAUCUUACAUUCUCUUUGGACAUUCACCUCUGAGACUAAUCUGAUUCCCAUCAUGUGAUCUUAUUGCUUCUUGAAAUCCUCCUUUUAACUAAAUGAGAACAGGCAAACGGUGUGUUUAUAAAUUAGCCUCACCCAGUACCUGUGUUUUUUUUUAAUGUUUUUGUGUCACGUGGUGAAACCUAGUGAUGAUAGAAAGCGGCGUUGUUCCAUGUAUUGAAAAACCAGACGGCCUGUAGAUCUGUCUGUAGGUUCCACACAGGGUUGCACAAAACUAGGCAAAAAAAAACUACCAGUAAACCAUUAAGUAGACCAACUUUUCCCAACCUUUUCUGUUGAUUCUUACUCUAGAAAUCUUCUUAUCAUUCUGCGAUCCCAUAUUUAUUAUUGGCUUAACUAACUGCCUGUUUUUGGACAUAUGGGGCGUACAGUAGUAGCCGUAUGUAAACCACAUCCUUUGACCAUUUUGGCUGAAUUUCUUAAAGUGAAUGAACAGGUCUAGUGAAUUUGAGUGUCAAGCAGGUUGUAGUGGUCUAUUUACUUAACCAUCCUGAUGCUGCAUUGACCAAUGUCCCCCUCCCACAUGUUGACACCUGCUGCUAUAACGAUUUUUCAGAGUACUCCUUGAUGUGAUGCUCUCAGUCAAUAUAGGCUGGUUCAUGCCACUGUCUUGCCAAACAAAAGCCAUUGGAAUCAUGAGCAGGAAGAUUUAAGGGUUUAUUUCUAUUGAAUGGAGUGAUUUAAGCUGAUAUAUAAUCUAAUCUUUUUUUCUUUUUCUUUUUUUUAUUCCUUUUUAUGUUGCUUUAUAUUUUGUUUGUCUGUUUGAAAAUCGUUUAUGUGAUGCAAGCUGCUAAAACACUUUCCAGCAUUGGUGAUUGAGGUCGCUUUGUGUCAGGUGGGUGGGGACAGGAUGUGUCCCAAAAUUGAAAGUAGAGAUUGAUGAAAGAUGAUGGCUUUCUCAAUGAGAUAUUUUUUUAAGGGAGUCACAUCCUUAAAAACAGCUAAACCCACCUGACUGAUCAGACAGAUGCACAGGAAAGAAGGUUCAACCAAAACCAAGCAGAUUCAAGUCUGUCUCUUGGAAAGUCUGAACUGUCAAAGGAUGAAAAAAAAAACAGAAAGAAAAAGAAAACGUAGUAUUUAUGAGAACUUUUUGUACAGGUGUGUAAAAGAUGCAACAGAAAUAAUGUUGAAGCUAUUUUUUUAUUUGCUUGGUCACAUGCCUCCAUGUCUUUUCACAUUGUGAUUCUGAGAGUGUCUGUAGAACCAGUUGUUAUUGCUGUAGUGACAAAUGUCUCUUUUUUCUUUAUACGUUCUUUUUAAAUACAUCUUUCAAUAAUAAAAAGGAAUAAGUCAACAAAAAUUAAUUUUUUAAACAGAAAAUAUAGAAAUCGGUUCUUUGGUAGGUGCCACCAGAGUGCAGUGUUUUGCACAGGCCACUAAGGACAACUUUACGAGUAAGUAAAAAAAAAAUCAUUACACAAAUGAUUAAACCACCAAGAAUUAACUGAUUAUGUUCAUAUUUUUUCCCUGCAGGUUUGCUCAUGUGGGCGUCUUCCAGUGGACCCACCACACGGGAAGGUUCACGAGGGGCUAGUGCGGUACAGUGUGAUUUGGGUGGCGGUCGUAGAGACUGCUGCCACUGCGACCCAGUAACGGAUAAGCGGUCGAAAAUGGAUGGGCUUUCUCAUGUUACCAGUAACAAACCUGAUUCACAAACAGCUUUCAUGAGGAGAGAAGAGGAGCGAACAAGAAAGGAGAGGAGCAAGCAGAGUGGAAGAAAAGUAGCACAUGCGUAUGAGAAAGAUGAACGCUAUGAUGACAGCGAUGAUGGUCAGCGCUGAAAACAGAAAGAUGAGACCGGCGAAGACUGGGUUGGUCAUCGGCAAAAUGAGCUUCACUUCAGACGGGAUCAUGUUGGACAUACUCAGCAUGUAGCCCAAACUCCAACCUAUGUUGGUGUUCUUAACCUGGAGGAGAAAAGAGGAGAUGUAUGGUGAGUUCAAGAGAGGAGAGGAAAAAGUGAGAGAGGAGGCGAGCGGAAAGCAAAGGGCAAGAGAGGGGAAGAAGGGGAAAAGUAAGAAAAGAGGCGAUGGGAGGGGUGGUCAGAGCAGAGGAUGGAGAAUGGGUGGGGGGCAAGAGGAGGAAAAAAGAGAAGAUGGGACAACAGGAGAGGAAAAAGUAAGAGAAAAUGUGAUGUAGAGGUGGUGAGAGCAGGGGGAGGAGAGGACAGUAAAGAGAGAAAAUCAAGAAGAGAAUAUGUGAAGAGAGAAAAGGGAAAGGAGAUGUGUGUAGAGGAGAAAUUGAUCUGACAUUGACUCUGACAUCAUCUUUGCAUGUUCAGAAUAGACUGGAAUGUCUCGCAACUGAAAUAAAAAAGCUUCACUUCAAAA